UGAAAGAUCCAUUAAUUUUCUCAUCUUCUUCUUCAAUUUCUGAUUUAGUUGGUUGCCUUGAAAUACUCACUUGAAAAAAGAAGAAAUUGCAUUACAGCACAAGCCAUGACUUACAAUUAAGAAGAAAGAACUUUGUAAUCUUAAUUUUCAGGAUGUUCUAAACGCUUCAAAACCAAUUACUUUCAGGUGUUUUUGACAGAAUAACAGGAAAUCUCCCCGUUCCUCAACAUGAACCAUUUGAUCCUUUAUAUCCAUCUUGGAUUGUGGACCUGGCUACAUUUUGUUGGAAUAAAAUACAGUGCAGAUAUGCAGAUGGUUGAUUAGCUUAGUUGGCUUGAUGGCUGGCUUGCAGUGCAGAUCGACAUCCAACAUUGCAGGCUCAAUUCCUGUACCAGCUGAGGUCACCAAGGAGGUACUCACUUUCUCAUCCUCACACCUUGUCUGAAUCAUAGUGAUCUUCAGAUUAAACUCACCUCUAGUUGUCAUUCUUUCAUGAAGAGCAGCUCUACGAUCUGCCAUGGUCUUCUGGGGCUAUGGUGACUAUCUUUUUAAUGUUAAAGAAGCAUGUGCUAGGAACAAUAAUUGUUAGCAGCGGGCAUUCUUAAGAAUAUUGCUCCUUCUUCAGGAAUGAAUGGCAAUUCAUGGAGUGCUUCCAAUGACCUUGAACUACUUUCUUGGAAACCUUAUCCUGUUGAUUCCAAAGAGUACCUCCCUCCUCUACUUAACUCAUGAACCAACACUUCCACAUUGGAAUCUGCAAAUUGGCAGCCAGGUGUCCUGAAUCAGCACUUUUCAGUACCUCUGUAAGCAGUUAUCUUUUGUGCAGCUGUAAGUAUUGUAAAAACGAAACAGUACACUAUGUGCCAAUGAGAAAAAGUUUGUUCUAAGAACUCCAGAGUCCUGAAAAUUUUAUGCUUUAUAAUUGUCCUGCAUUCAUACUCAUGCUGUUGAACUUUUAUCAUUAAGUUUCUAAUAUUGAUGGAUCAGUGUAUGAAA